rnacentral:rRNA from 1 species
UACGUAGGGUGCAGGCGUUAAUCGGAAUUACUGGGCGUAAAGCGUGCGCAGGCGGUUUGCUAAGACAGAUGUGAAAUCCCCGGGCUCAACCUGGGAACUGCAUUUGUGACUGCAUAGCUGGAGUGCGGCAGAGGGGGAUGGAAUUCCGCGUGUAGCAGUGAAAUGCGUAGAUAUGCGGAGGAACACCGAUGGCGAAGGCAAUCCCCUGGGCCUGCACUGACGCUCAUGCACGAAAGCGUGGGGAGCAAACAGG